GUGGGUAUAGCUCAGUUGGUUAGAGUGCCUGGUUGUGGCCCAGGAGGUCGUGGGUUCAAAUCCCACUACUCACCCCA
rnacentral:tRNA from 2 species